GAUGAACGCUGGCGGCGUGCUUAACACAUGCAAGUCGAACGAAGCAUUUAAGACAGAUUACUUCGGUUUGAAGUCUUUUAUGACUGAGUGGCGGACGGGUGAGUAACGCGUGGGUAACCUGCCUCAUACAGGGGGAUAGCAGCUGGAAACGGCUGGUAAUACCGCAUAAGCGCGCAGUACCACAUGGUACAGUGUGAAAAACUCCGGUGGUAUGAGAUGGACCCGCGUCUGAUUAGCUUGUUGGCGGGGUAACGGCCCACCAAGGCGACGAUCAGUAGCCGACCUGAGAGGGUGACCGGCCACAUUGGGACUGAGACACGGCCCAGACUCCUACGGGAGGCAGCAGUGGGGAAUAUUGCACAAUGGAGGAAACUCUGAUGCAGCGACGCCGCGUGAGUGAAGAAGUAGUUCGCUAUGUAAAGCUCUAUCAGCAGGGAAGAUAGUGACGGUACCUGACUAAGAAGCUCCGGCUAAAUACGUG
rnacentral:rRNA from 1 species